rnacentral:ncRNA from 1 species
GUGUUCGUAGAAAGGAGAGACGGUUGGCAUCUCCCCUGACAGGGACGGGAUUACUACCCGCUUGGGCGGAUCUUACCCAAAUUUUUUUU